rnacentral:lncRNA from 1 species
AAGAAAGGAAAAGAAAAAAAGAAGAUAAUACAUAAAUUUUUAAUUUAAAAAUAAGUGGCUCAUUUGUAGCCACAAACCAAAUAAAAAAAAUAAAAAAAAAAGAAAAGAAAAGAGGAAAGAAGAAGAGACUAGAAGUGAAGAGAGAAACCCAUUUUUGUUUUCUCCAUUUUCUUCUCCUUCCUCUGCCGUGAAACCUCCUUUCUCCAUUUGUUUUUCUACACCAAAAUUGCGUCAAAAUUUCACCUCCAAUUAAUUCCCUAUCUUCUCUCAACACCUUUCCAAAGACGCAUUUGAAGAAAAGAAGGGAAAUCAAAGAGAAAUUUCAAGGGUGAGGGAGAGUGAAUAGUAACCAAGGGUUUGGAAAUUUGAAAGGUAUGUUAGGGGUUUUUGUUGUAGGGUUAUUUCUUAUCAUUUUAUGUGAAUAUUUAUGAGAAAUAUUGUAUUAAUUUGAUUUAUUGGUUUAUUUUUUUUCAUGAAGAAGAAGUGGAAGGGAAAGGAAAAGAAAAGGAAAAUUAGGGAAUUUUAAGCUUGUGGAAGAUCUUGGGAAGGUUUGUGCUCAACUCUAUUUCAAUAAAUUCAAGAAAUGGUUAUUUAUGUUCA